UACAGAGGGGGCAAGCGUUAUUCGGAAUUAUUGGGCGUAAAGGGCGCGUAGGCGGCCAUUCAAGUGACGGGUGAAAGCCCUCGGCUUAACCGAGGAACUGCCUGUCAGACUGGAUGGCUUGAGACCGGGAGAGGUGAGUGGAAUUCCCAGUGUAGCGGUGAAAUGCGUAGAUAUCUGGAGGAACACCGGUGGCGAAGGCGGCAUCCUGGACCAACACUGACACUGAGGAGCGAAAGCCAGGGGAGCAAACGGG
rnacentral:rRNA from 1 species